rnacentral:rRNA from 2 species
UUUAUAUGAGAGUUUGAUCCUGGCUCAGGAUGAACGCCGGCGGUGUGCCUAAUACAUGCAAGUCGAACGCGUUGGCCCAAUUGAUUGAUGGUGCUUGCACCUGAUUGAUUUUGGUCGCCAACGAGUGGCGGACGGGUGAGUAACACGUAGGUAACCUGCCCAGAAGCGGGGGACAACAUUUGGAAACAGAUGCUAAUACCGCAUAACARCGUUGUUCGCAUGAACAACGCUUAAAAGAUGGCUUCUCGCUAUCACUUCUGGAUGGACCUGCGGUGCAUUAGCUUGUUGGUGGGGUAACGGCCUACCAAGGCGAUGAUGCAUAGCCGAGUUGAGAGACUGAUCGGCCACAAUGGGACUGAGACACGGCCCAUACUCCUACGGGAGGCAGCAGUAGGGAAUCUUCCACAAUGGGCGCAAGCCUGAUGGAGCAACACCGCGUGAGUGAAGAAGGGUUUCGGCUCGUAAAGCUCUGUUGUUAAAGAAGAACACGUAUGAGAGUAACUGUUCAUACGUUGACGGUAUUUAACCAGAAAGUCACGGCUAACUACGUGCCAGCAGCCGCGGUAAUACGUAGGUGGCAAGCGUUAU